rnacentral:lncRNA from 1 species
AGAGACUAUUUUUAUGUAUCUAUAACUUGCAAAAAUUUGAUUUCUAUUUCUAUGCUACCAAAGGAUGAUUACAUAUUUAAUUGCAAUAAAGAUCAGUGUUCAAUUUAUUUUGAAAAUAAUAUUGUUGUGUGAGCCUUUAUUCUUGACGGACUCUACCAUUUGCAUGUUGAUACAUGUGUGAACGUAAAUAAGCAAGUAGUGAAUGCCAUAGGGUCUAAGAGAUCAAGAGAUAAGCUAAAUCAAAGAUAUCUAUGGCACCUUAG